GUCAGAGUUUAUUGGUGAAAUAUAAUACAUUUGACAGCAGUCCAGGUUUAACAUGAAAUAUGGUGUCAUAAUACAGAGAACACACAUUUAUUCUCAUUUGUUCGACUGUGGCCAUGCUGGGGCAUCACCUUGAAGAACUUUUGGUUGAAUAAAUUGAUCCCAGUACUUUUUUUUUUUUUUGAAAGCCAGGAUUUAUAAGCAGGCUGUUCCAUUGAUCGGAUCAACUGGAAUUCUCAUUGUCAUAACCGAUGGAGUGACAGUUUUACAGAGAGAGAGAGAGAGAAAGAGGGGGAAGAUGGCAAUAACAUCUAACAAAAAAAAAAUGCAAAAGAGAAACAGAAAAAAAAAGUUAUAAGUAAAUCAGAAUAGCUCAAAAUAAAGAAUGUACCUCACAUUUGGUUAAGUUCAAUUUUUAUCAACUUUUAGAGAAAAACUAAUUCAAGAGAAUAUAUAAAUAGUAACAGUUGACCUCAGAUUCUCUUGGCAGAACACAAAGGCUGUAUUAUUCUAAUGAGGAAAAACAAGAACUUAUAUCAAAACAAUCAUCAUCUUUGGAAACAGAAUGGUAUUUAUGUAAAAAUAAUAAGAAAAAACAAAACAACAAACAUGAAUGGUGGUUAAUAGCCAUAGACAUGGCCGUGUUGUUGUUAAGUAGUUUCACAUCUGUAUGGUUCCAAGUUCAGUCCUACAGUGCAGUGCCUUUGGCAAAUGCAUUCUGUUAUGAGAUUGGGUUGAACAAAUUCUUGUGAGUGAAUUUGGUUGAUAGAAACUGACAGAAACUAAGGCAGCGAGCUGGCAGACACGUUAGCAUGCCGGGCAAAAUGCUUAACCAUAUUUUGUCUGGCAUUACGUUCUGAGUUCAAAUUCCGCCGAGGUCGACUUUGCCUUUCAUCCUUUCGGAGGUCGAUAAAUUAAGUACCAGUUACGCACUGGGGUCGAUGUAAUCGACUUAACCCCUUUGUCUGUCCUUGUUUGUCCCCUCUAAGUUUAGCCCCUUGAGGGCAAUAAAUAAAUAAGAAACAGUGUAAACAAGUCUGUAGAGUGUGUGUGUGUGUGUGUGUGUGUGUGUGAUGUCAGCAUGGAAAAAGGAACAUUAAAAACAAUGAUGAUGAUGAUGAUGUGUGCUUGCAUUUGUCCCUCACUACCACUUAACCUUUGUUGGUUUGUUUACAUACCUCUAACUUAGUGGAUUGCAAUAUAUGUAUGUAUAUGUAUGUGUGAGGGAAUGUAUGUGCAUGUGGGUGAAUGUAUGUGUGCAUCAUGGAGUCAAGGAUGCAUAUGAGGUGGGGUAUAUUAUACACACACACACACAUAUACAUAUGAAUGUGCACAUACAGAGAGAAUACAAAACUUAAAGAUAAAUACUGAGGUUGAUUUGUUCAACUGACUCUACAAGGCAAUGCUCCAGCAUGGUCGUUGUCAAAUGACUGAAACAGGUAAAAAUAAUAGAAUAGGUGGAAUUGGUAAAUCCUGGGACAAAAUGGUUUAUGGUAUUUGGUUACAAUCCUUUAUGUUCUCCUUUAUAUUGUGUGUUCAAAUCCCAGUUAGGUUAAGUUCUGUAACUUUCAUGAUUUUCAGGUCCAUAAAAAUAAAGGACCAAUUCAUGUAACAAGUAAAGGGUAAUAUGAUUAACUAAACCCUACAAAGGUGACUGUGCAAACAUGACCACAGCACUUACUGAAACUAGUAAGAGAUCGAAAAAAAAGAUUAAUUUAGAAAUAUAUAAUUGAAAUACAAAAAUUCAUUUUGGAAGUUACUCCUGAAGGAACUGAA